rnacentral:misc_RNA from 1 species
CCAAUAGCGUAUAUUAAAGUUGUUGCAGUUAAAAAGCUCGUAGUUGAACUUCGGGAUCAAUUAGUUGGUCAUGCCUUGGUAUGUACUGAUUUUAUUGGUUCUCACCUUCUAAAGAACUAUAAUGUCAUUUAUUUGAUGUUAUAGGGAAUUAGGACUGUUACCUUGAAAAAAUUAGAGUGUUUAAAGCAGGCUCACGCUUGAAUACAUUAGCAUGGAAUAAUGAAAUAGGACAUCGCAUUCUAUUUUGUCGGUUUCUAGGAUCGAUGUAAUGAUUAAUAGGGAUAGUUGGGGGCAUUAGUAUUCAAUUGUCAGAGGUGAAAUUCUUGGAUUUAUUGAAGACUAACUACUGCGAAAGCAUUUGCCAAGGAUGUUUUCAUUAAUCAAGAACGAAAGUUAGGGGAUCGAAGACGAUCAGAUACCGUCGUAGUCUUAACCAUAAACUAUGCCGACUAGGGAUCGGAUGAUGUUGAUUUUUUAAUGACUCAUUCGGCACCUUACG